AGAGUUUGAUCCUGGCUCAGAUUGAACGCUGGCGGCAGGCCUAACACAUGCAAGUCGAGCGGUAGAGAGAAGCUUGCUUCUCUUGAGAGCGGCGGACGGGUGAGUAAUGCCUAGGAAUCUGCCUAGUGGUGGGGGAUAACGUUCGGAAACGGACGCUAAUACCGCAUACGUCCUACGGGAGAAAGCGGGGGAUCUUCGGACCUCGCGCCAUUAGAUGAGCCUAGGUCGGAUUAGCUAGUUGGUGAGGUAAUGGCUCACCAAGGCGACGAUCCGUAACUGGUCUGAGAGGAUGAUCAGUCACACUGGAACUGAGACACGGUCCAGACUCCUACGGGAGGCAGCAGUGGGGAAUAUUGGACAAUGGGCGAAAGCCUGAUCCAGCCAUGCCGCGUGUGUGAAGAAGGUCUUCGGNAUGUAAAGCACUUAAGUUGGGAGGAAGGGUAGUAACCUAAUACGGUUGUUACUUUGACGUUACCGACAGAAUAAGCACCGGGCUAACUCGGGCCAGCAGCCGCGGUAAUACGAAGGGUGCAAGCGUUAAUCGGAAUUACUGGGCGUAAAGCGCGCGUAGGUGGUUCAGUAAGUUGGAAGUGAAAUCCCCGGGCUCAACCUGGGAACUGCUUUCAAAACUGCUGAGCUAGAGUACGAUAGAGGGUGGUGGAAUUUCCUGUGUAGCGGUGAAAUGCGUAGAUAUAGGAAGGAACACCAGUGGCGAAGGCGACCACCUGGACUGAUACUGACACUGAGGUGCGAAAGCGUGGGGAGCAAACAGGAUUAGAUACCCUGGUAGUCCACGCCGUAAACGAUGUCAACUAGCCGUUGGAAUCCUUGAGAUUUUAGUGGCGCAGCUAACGCAUUAAGUUGACCGCCUGGGGAGUACGGCCGCAAGGUUAAAACUCAAAGGAAUUGACGG
rnacentral:rRNA from 1 species